rnacentral:SRP_RNA from 1 species
GCCAGGCAUGGUAGUGCAUGCCUGUAGUCCCAGCUACUUAGGAGGCUGAGGUGGGAGGAUCACUUGAGCCCGGGAGGUGGAGGCUGCAGUGAGCUGUGAUUGUGCCACUGCACUCCAGCCUGAGCGACAGAGCGAGACCCUGUCUCUA